rnacentral:rRNA from 1 species
CUUGUACUGUGAAACUGCCCAAUGGCUCAUUAAAUCAUGUUAUCGUUUAUUUGAUUGUACUUUACUACAUGGAUACCUGUGGUAAUUCUAGAGCUAAUACAUGCGAAAAAUCCCGACUUCGGAAGGGAUGUAUUUAUUAGAUUAAAAACCAAUGCGGGUUCRUCCCGUUUACUUGGUGAUUCAUGAUAACUUUUCGAAUCGCAUGGCCUAGCGCCGGCGAUGUUUCAUUCAAAUUUCUGCCCUAUCAACUUUCGAUGGUAAGGUAGUGGCUUACCAUGGUUGUAACGGGUGACGGAGAAUUAGGGUUCGAUUCCGGAGAGGGAGCCUGAGAAACGGCUACCACAUCUAAGGAAGGCAGCAGGCACGAAAAUUACCCAAUCCCAACACGGGGAGGUAGUGACAAGAAAUAACGAUACGGGGUCUUCAUAGGCCUCGCAAUUGGAAUGAGUACAAUUUAAAUCCUUUAACGAGGAUCGAUUGGAGGGCAAGUCUGGUGCCAGCAGCCGCGGUAAUUCCAGCUCCAAUAGCGUAUAUUAAAGUUGUUGCAGUUAAAAAGCUCGUAGUUGGAUUUCGGAAUGGUCCAGUUGGUCCGCUGAAAGGUGUGUUACUGAUUGGUCUGUUCUUCUUCGCAAAGACUGCGUGUGCUCUUUAUUGAGUGGGCGUAGGAUUUACGACGUUUACUUUGAAAAAAUUAGAGUGUUCAAAGCAGGCUCUCGCUUGAAUACAUGAGCAUGGAAUAAUGGAAUAGGACUUUGGUCCUAUUUUGUUGGUUUCUAGGACUGAAGUAAUGAUUAAGAGGGACAAUUGGGGGCAUCCGUAUUUCGUUGUCAGAGGUGAAAUUCUUGGAUUUACGAAAGACGAACAACUGCGAAAGCACUUGCCAAGAGUGUUUUCAUUAAUCAAGAACGAAAGUUAGAGGAUCGAAGACGAUCAGAUACCGUCCUAGUUCUAACCAUAAACGAUGCCGACUAGGGAUCAGCGGGCGUUAUUGAACGACCUCGUUGGCACCUUACGGGAAACCAAAGUCUUUGGGUUCCGGGGGAAGUAUGGUUGCAAAGCUGAAACUUAA